rnacentral:rRNA from 2 species
AACGGGUGAGUAACACGUGAGUAAUCUGCCCUGUGCUCUGGGAUAGCCACCGGAAACGGUGAUUAAUACCGGAUAUGACGCUGUCACGCAUGUGGUGGUGUGGAAAGUUUUUUCGGCGCAGGAUGUGCUCGCGGCCUAUCAGCUUGUUGGUGAGGUAAUGGCUUACCAAGGCUUUGACGGGUAGCCGGCCUGAGAGGGUGACCGGUCACACUGGGACUGAGACACGGCCCAGACUCCUACGGGAGGCAGCAGUGGGGAAUAUUGGACAAUGGGCGGAAGCCUGAUCCAGCAACGCCGCGUGAGGGAUGACGGCCUUCGGGUUGUAAACCUCUUUCAAUACCGACAAAGCUUUUCUUUUGGGAGGGUGACGGGAGGUACAGAAGAAGGACCGGCCAACUACGUGCCAGCUCCGCGGUAAUACGUAGGGUCCGAGCG